CAGCAGCCGCGGGAACACGAAGGGUGCAAGCGUUACUCGGAAUUACUGGGCGUAAAGCGUGCGUAGGUGGUGGUUUAAGUCCGUUGUGAAAGCCCUGGGCUCAACCUGGGAAUUGCAGUGGAUACUGGGUCACUAGAGUGUGGUAGAGGAUAGUGGAAUUUCCGGUGUAGCAGUGAAAUGCGUAGAGAUCGGAAGGAACAUCUGUGGCGAAGGCGACUAUCUGGGCCAACACUGACACUGAGGCACGAAAGCGUGGGGAGCAAACAGGAUUAGAUACCCCCGUAGUCCCUGUCUCUUAUAC
rnacentral:rRNA from 1 species